GUGGAUUAGAUACCCUAGUAGUCCACGCUGUAAACGAUGUCAACUAGCUGCUUGUGUCUUCGUGACGUGGGUAGCGCAGCUAACGCACUAAGUUGACCGCCUGGGGAGUACGGCCGCAAGGUUAAAACUCAAAUGAAUUGACGGGGGCCCGCACAAGCGGUGGAGCAUGUGGUUUAAUUCGACGCAACGCGAAGAACCUUACCAGGUCUUGACAUCCAGUGAACUUUCCAGAGAUGGAUUGGUGCCUUCGGGAACACUGAGACAGGUGCUGCAUGGUCGUCGUCAACU
rnacentral:rRNA from 1 species